rnacentral:lncRNA from 1 species
ACUAACAAGUCUCUUAAUCCCAUGUGUGGAAGCUCACCAAGAGGACAUGAUAAAACGAGUUGGACAAGAGAGUGGAAAACGUUAAAUAAGGCUUUGUGAUCUCUUUGAAAAAUAAGGGAGACGUGUAAGAGUGAGAUGGAUUCGUUCAAGAGUUUAUUGUGGAGAAUAGAGUUAUCUGUUUAUGGUUUAUUUUACAUAAAAGUGAAACCAUGGUUCUCGUUAACUCUUGCUCAAAGGUCUACAUGCUUGUCGUGGCUUUGAUUGAAUUUAAAAUGGCAAGGUUGAGAUAGAAUAAUGAAACGCAUGGCCCAAAACAAAUAGCAAAU